rnacentral:ncRNA from 1 species
GCCCUGUAACUUCGGGAGAAGAGGUGCCUCCUCACAAAGGGGAUCUCAGUGACCAGGCCCGGCGACUAAUUACCAAAAACACAGGUCUAUGCAAAGUCGUAAGACCAUGUAUGGGGACUGACGCCUGCCCAGUGUUAUAAGGUCAAGGAAGUUGAUGACCUGAUGACAGGGGAGCCGACAGGGUCAC